rnacentral:piRNA from 1 species
UGGUUUAAGCCUGUAUAAUUCUUGCUAAUU